CUUCAGAUCGCAUAAAUCUUUCGCCUUUUACUAAAGAUUUCCGUGGAGAGAAACAAUUCUGAGUCUUAAACCAAUUUUUUGAGGCCUUGUUUUAACAGGGCUUACUUGUGUCUCGCAAAAAAAGAAAAUUGUUAUUGCGCACAUUCAGAUGGUCUCUGGCUUCCACAUACUUGGUCUGUACCCCUUGACCUGGGCAAUGGACGCAAACAAGAACUCCACUUCCUGGUUCAGCUCGUUCUUGAGCAUCUCUAAGCUGUGAUGGGGCAGUGGAGCUUCGGAGGGCUGAACUAGCCAGUCCAAAGCCACUGUGAGCUUUCCAGAGUCUGUUGCAGUGCUGUGGCUCAAGGAAUGAACAUCAGAGCCCCGGGAGAGCUGCAGAUCACCCAGUCUCCAUUCUCCUCCCCGAAGCCUUCAAGAGAAACCAGCCCUGGCCGCCUUUCCCAGAGUCUCUCUUGGCUUCACGUCCCGUUCACCUUCCCCCUCUCUCUCUUCUUUCUCCACCUGCCCCCGCUUUCCUUCGGCUUUGCUUUCCUGCCCUCUGGCUUGCUUUCCACAAGCAUGUGCGUGGUUAGGGCUUCUGCCCGCUCUGGCUGGCUCACAAAGAGUUUAUAAAAAGGUAAGGAAGGGCAGCAGCAGAAGUGGUUCUAACCGGAGAGAACCAGGGAGGACAUCAGGAGACGGCCGUGAACAAGGACCAGUGGAGUGGGAUCAUUCCAGGUUGAAGGAGCUUCUUGCAGAAAGGCCUGGAGGUGGCGUUGUGCCUGGCACAUGCUGGAGAAGCCAGGAGCCCGGCUUGAAGGAUUGGAGUCCACAAAAGGAGCCAAGAAUUGGGCUCUGUUCUGAAGAAGAAGAAGAAGAGCAGGCGUGGUCCUGAGUGCUUUACAUGACUGACUUGUUUACUGCUCACAACCUUCAAGGCAGGUGCUGUCCUUCUCUGUGGUUUCUAGAGGAGGAAAUGGUCCCAGAGGGUCGCCCAGCUGGACAGCAGCUGAGUGGGGAUUACAAACCCAAGCCUGUGCUCUGAGCCGCUGGAUUACGCUGCCUCCCAUGAGGGGGCCCUUGAACGCCAGGCCAAAGGUGUUGUACUGCCCUGGGAGCAAUGGGAAGCGAUGGCAGGUUCCUGACCUAACCUGCAUUUUAGGACGUGCCCAACUUCCUCAACCCUCCUACUCCAGGGUCUGACAUCCCUGGGUCUCUCCUCAAUAUGCAGGAAGAAAAUCUUCAUCUCAGCCCGUUUAGACCAUUUCCUCUCCUCCCCACCAUGAGAUUCCCCUGUCCUUUCUCCUCAGCACCCAGACAGCAAGUCAGUAGCCAGUAUGGGCUUAGGACAAGGAGGCCAACGUUCCAGCCCCAGCUCCACCACCUCACUUCUCUGGGCCUCAGUUUCCAUCUGUUAAGUGAGAGGGUGACAGAGAGUCCAGCCCUGCCCCCCACAAGGCUUUGAGAAGACUCAGAUGAGGUAACGGGGAGGCAUUCCACAAAAGGCCACCAGAAUUAGUAACAGAGGCCUCAUCAUUAUCACUCAGGACUCCACGGAGUCUCUUUCCCUUCCCUGAGGAAGGCCCUGGCCAUUUGACCCUCUUGC